GAUUCUGGCUCAGGAUGAACGCUGGCGGCGUGCCUAACACAUGCAAGUCGAGCGAUUACUUCGGUAAAGAGCGGCGGACGGGUGAGUAACGCGUGGGUAACCUGCCUCAUACACAUGGAUAACAUACCGAAAGGUAUGCUAAUACAGGAUAAUAUAAGAGAUUCACAUGGAUUUCUUAUCAAAGCUCCGGCGGUAUGAGAUGGACCCGCGUCUGAUUAGCUAGUUGGUAAGGUAAUGGCUUACCAAGGCGACGAUCAGUAGCCGACCUGAGAGGGUGAUCGGCCACAUUGGAACUGAGACACGGUCCAAACUCCUACGGGAGGCAGCAGUGGGGAAUAUUGCACAAUGGGCGAAAGCCUGAUGCAGCAACGCCGCGUGAGUGAUGAAGGCCUUCGGGUCGUAAAACUCUGUCCUCAAGGAAGAUAAUGACGGUACUUGAGGAGGAAGCCCCGGCUAACUACGUGCCAGCAGCCGC
rnacentral:rRNA from 1 species